CCAGGCACUAGGAAUAGCAAGGAAGCUCCCUUGUUUCCCUACCAUAGAGUAAGUUCCACUGAGCAACAUUGCCCAGUUCCGAUGAGGACUACAGUCGUUCUAGGGUUAAUUUAGGAUCUUGAGAUCUAGCCACAUUCCAGAUCCUAUUGACUUUGUAGAGUGUCUUGUCCCUCCUGGUUCUCCCCUCAGUCUUGGGCUCUCAGGAGCAGGCAGUGAGCCAGUCAGCAGGGUUGUGGAGAGCAGCGAGAGCAGCCUCCGCCUUCAGCAUCUGUGCAGUGGUGGCUGGGAUCUAGUCUAGAAAAGCUCACUGGGAAUCAGCUUGGCCGCAGACGCCUUGAGUCUCCUCUGCGUGACCUCGCCCUGUUCGCGACUGUCUCCCCGAGUUACUUCACGGACUUGCAGCUGUGUGCAGGCUCUCUCUACGUGCAGCAACCCUCCCUACCACUCCACUGCUGAGAAAGUCUGUUCCCCACCGCUGCACUGGCUUCACAUACUCUUCUGGAUCCGGUCUGGCACGAGGUUCCUUACUUCUAAAAUGCGCAGAAUGAUCCAUGCUCCUGGCUUCCGGCUUCUGACUUCCGACCACUCCCUCUGAUGAACUGCAAUGGGCAGGAUCCAUGCACUUGUUCUCGACAAGCCUCCCAUGCAUCCUUCCUGCUUUGCUCUUGUUCCAUCUUCAGCUGGAAUUGUGUAAUCCUGCACCUUCUUGAAAGACUUCUCUUGUGCGUCCACACAGGGCUUGGAGUCUUUAGUCGGGCAUGCCAGCUUCGUGUCAAGGACCUCCAGUCUAAGUGGUGCUUACUUACUGUGACGGAAGCCCCCACCCCCAUGUGAUGGCAUCUGGAUCAGGGGCCUUAAGGGAGUAAGAAGGUUCUGACUGCCGUGACGGUGGGCACCUGUGAUGGUCUUAGUGGCCUUACAGGCAGAGGAAGAGAUCACACCCUCUUUCCAUUACUUACACGGAGUAAAACUGUAAACGCAGCAAGGAACCUGACUUACUUAGGGUUUUCAUUACUGGAAUAAAACAGUACAACCAGAG